rnacentral:rRNA from 1 species
CAGCACGAGUACUUGUACUUGGUGGCGACCGGCGCACGGGUGCGUAACGCGUAUGCAACCUACCUUAUACAGAGGGAUAGCCCAGAGAAAUUUGGAUUAAUACCUCAUAGUAUCAUUUGAAGGCAUCUGAGAAUGAUUAAAGAUUUAUCGGUAUAAGAUGGGCAUGCGUAAGAUUAGUUAGUUGGUGAGGUAACGGCUCACCAAGACUUCGAUCUUUAGGGGUUCUGAGAGGAUGAUCCCCCACACUGGUACUGAGAUACGGACCAGACUUCUACGGGAGGCAGCAGUAGGGAAUAUUGGUCAAUGGGCGAGAGCCUGAACCAGCCAUGCCGCGUGCAGGAAGACGGCCUUCUGGGUUGUAAACUGCUUUUAUAUGGGAAGAAAACGGCCUUGCGAGGCAGAUUGACGGUACCAUAUGAAUAAGCACCGGCUAACUCCGUGCCAGCAGCCGCGGUAAUACGGAGGGUGCAAGCGUUGUCCGGAUUUAUUGGGUUUAAAGGGUACGUAGGCGGCCAAUUAAGUCAGUGGUGAAAGCCAGCAGCUCAACUGUUGAACUGCCAUUGAUACUGAUUGGCUCGAGUUCUGUUAAGGUAGGCGGAAUUGAUGGUGUAGCGGUGAAAUGCAUAGAUACCAUCAGGAACACCGAUUGCGAAGGCAGCUUACUAGGCAGAAACUGACGCUAAUGUACGAAAGCGUGGGGAUCGAACAGGAUUAGAUACCCUGGUAGUCCACGCCGUAAACGAUGCUCACUCGCUGUUGGCGAUACACAGUCAGCGGCCAAGCGAAAGCG